AAGUGGUCACAGAAGGAAGACUAGAGGAAGAAGUAGGCGAGAAUCAUCAUCAACACUGCAAGCAUCUUCGGUAUCCAGAAGCAGCAUCUUCGAUCUCCAGAGGCAGGUAUGACUUCGUCCCCUUUGCAUCUUCAUUU